rnacentral:rRNA from 1 species
AACGUAGGACACAAGCGUUAUCCGGAGUUACUGGGCGUAAAGGGCGUGUAGGCGGACCUAUAAGUCUAUUCUGAAAGCUCCUGGCUAAACUGGGAGAGGCGAAUGGAGACUGUAGAUCUAGAGUCCGGAAGAGGAGAGUGGAAUUCCCGGUGUAGCGGUGAAAUGCGCAGAUAUCGGGAGGAACACCGGUGGCGAAGGCGGUUCUCUGGGCCUUACCUGACGCUGAGGAGCGAAAGCGUGGGGAGCGAACAGG